CUAGAGACUUCUUUCCAUGAGGCUUGAACAAACACACAAACCAGGGACUCAAAACCCCUUCUCUUUGACCCUCAUCGUCUCUCUCUCUCUUCACCGACCCCUCCCUUCACCUUGGCUUCUUUUUCCUUUGCCGACACUACUGCUCCACCACCGUCAGCAACCCACGCUACUCCUUCUUCUAUUUCUGGUGUCGCCUUGCUGUGUGCGGCGCUACCUUGCUGUUGCUCCUCUCGACCUUGCGUAGUACCACCGCCGACGGUGGCCUUAAAUGGUCGUCGUUGAUCUUCCAUCACUCAAUUGGACGUGAGGUCGUUUUGCCGUCCCGAUGGGCUCGCCGCCAUUGUUGGUGGCGUCGGGUAGUAGCCCUCGAUGUUGGUGUCCCCUUCCUCCCCUCAUUGCCACAGUUUUUGCUAUUGUUGCUGUUGAUUCGAUUCGAUUGUUGCUCCAGUUUUUGUUACUUCUCUGCUUCAAUUUCUCUGAAGGGAAUAAUUCAAUCUUUAAUUCUAGUUCAUUUAUAAUAAUUUCCAUAUUUCAGUUUAAUAAUCUUGGUCAGUUGUAAAAUCUCUACAGAAAUAAGUUGUAACUGGUUUAUUAGUUGGUAUUAAAGGAAUGAUUUCAAUUACGAAAUACAAACAAAUUUCAUUGUGUUGUUAAGCAAUAUAAAUCCAUUGUUUCAUUUCCAAAAAGGUUUCUCUUAAAAGAAAGUAUAAUUAAUGUUUUCUAGUUUGAGCAUAUUAAUUUAGAUACGCUUAUAAGUAGUACCUUAUAUAACUAAUGGUUAUUGAGAUGUAUAUAGUUUUCAAUUAAGAUGUUUUGUUUAGGAAGUUUGAUUCGAUUUCCUUAAAAUAAAUAGGUGCCCUGGCAGUUUCUAAAAUAUGUUUUCGAGAAUCAUUUAAUGUUCAAAAGAGUUUAUCAAGUUUAUGUUUAGUUAGAAUGAAAUUUGAAAGGUUUAUUAGACAACGUCGAAGAGAGUUCUAUUUAGUUCUAAUUCGAUUAAGGUGAAUGGUUUAUUGAUUAGAGACUUUGUUUGUUGGGGUGUAUUAUUGAAGGUCGUUGAAUUAUGGAUUUUAGCGGAGGUUGAUGAUCGAAAUGUAUAAUUCUUGGAGUUUAAAUCGAAGAGUUAAAAUGUUUUGCAGGUAGCGAGAAUCGAGUUUCAGUUCAGGUUCAAGGUGCGUAGAGUCCUCCGGAUGUCUUAUAUGUUUCAAGGCGGGUUUAUCGAUUCUCCAAGUGUAUUCAAGUUGUUUCCAAUUUGUUAAUGGAUUGUAUUAUUCCUUUCUAGAGCUUUUUGGUUUAUUACUUAUGGAUUAUAUAUCCUUGUUGAGUUGGUGACAGCCUGGUGAUGUCUUGGGAAAUGUUAUAUGUUGGAAUGUUGUAAUUGAAGCAGGUGAAAGAAAAUCUGACGUAAUAUCCUAAGAAA